rnacentral:ncRNA from 1 species
GGGCACUUUGCUUAAAAGUAUUAAUAGUUAAUUUUUUAGUUUUUGGACCAAAGUUUUAUUCUAGCUUAAAGGUUAAAUAUUUUUAUUAUUUACAUGCAAUUUUUAUUUAAAAUUUAAAGAGUGAUUUUAGGCAGUAUAUAGUUUUGUAAAUUAAAGAGAUUUAGAAUUAGAAAUAAAAUUUAGUAUUGGCUAAAUUUGUGCCAGCCGCCGCGGUUAGACAGAUGAUGCGAUUUAAUUUUUUAGAUAGUAAUUAAUUUAAAUAAUUAGAAAAUUUAAAAUUAAAUUUAUUAGGUGAAAUUUUAAAUUUAAUUUAAGUUUUAAAUAUUUUUUUAAAGUUAGGAAAUUUAAUUAUUAGACUAGGAUUAGAUACCCUAUUAUUAUAAAUGUAAUGUAAAAAUAUCAAGCGAUUAAUAGUUAUGAUCUUUAAAAUUAAAGAAUUUGGCGGUAUUUUAGUCUUUUCAGAGGAACCUGCCCUAUAAUUGAUAAUCCACGUUUAAUUGAACUUAUUUUAAUUAGUUUGUAUAUCGUCGUAGGUUGAAUAUUUUAGGAGAAUUAAAAUGUUCAAGAUUUUUAUUAUGAAAGGAAAUCAGAUCAAGAUGCAGUUUAUAGAUAAGGAGAGGUGGGUUACAGUACAGAGAUGUYAUUGGAUUAUAAAAUGAGAUUUUUAUAUAAAAUUGGAUUUGACAGUAAUUUUGAUUAAUUUAUCAAAAUGAUUUAGCUCUAAAAUAUGCACAUAUCGCCCGUCACUUUCAUCCCAAGAUGAAAUAAGUCGUAACAAAGUAGGCGUACUGGAAAGUGUGCCUAGAAAGGC